GAAAGAUGGAGGAGUAGAGGAGAACGAAGCUAUCGGUCUACUAUAUCUGUGGACCCGGGUUCAUCGUGAAUACGAAUGAGGUCCUGGUCGAUCGGGCUGGAGCACUAAUUGAGAAAGUUCGCCGGUACCGCUGCCAAUGUUUCCUCUGGAUGAAGAUAGCCGACCACUUUUGAGGGCAAGUCUGCUCCUCUGUUCCUCUUCUUCGUGAUUAAGGCCUGUUCCUUUAGACGGGUUGCAGCGCUGGGAUACCAGAGGGAAAGGAAACACGGAAAAUCGUCGCUGUUGAAACCGCUAGUAAUGAAUUUAAUGAGGUGUUUCUGCGCGAUGCUCGAAGGCAG
rnacentral:misc_RNA from 1 species